UACGAAGGGGGCUAGCGUUGUUCGGAGUUACUGGGCGUAAAGGGCGCGUAGGCGGCGCACCAAGUCAGGCGUGAAAGCCCUGGGCUCAACCCGGGAAUUGCGCUUGAGACUGGUGUGCUCGAGUACGGGAGAGGAUAGUGGAAUUCCCAGUGUAGAGGUGAAAUUCGUAGAUAUUGGGAAGAACACCGGUGGCGAAGGCGGCUAUCUGGACCGUAACUGACGCUGAGGCGCGAAAGCGUGGGGAGCGAACCGG
rnacentral:rRNA from 1 species